GUGUUUCAGUCAGUGGAUGGAAAUGUCCGAUCAACCCCAGAUCUCAAGCACUGUUUUGGAUCUCUGUUAUUCCAUAUUCAACAACAUGUAUAAAAAUGAGGAAUCCCAGAUUGCUUCUGCAAAGUUUACAAAGAAGGACAGUCUUGGAACUCUGGGGCGGCCUUUCUUCCUUUUCAGGCCUCGAAAUGGAAGAACUGUUGAAGGUAGUGAAUAUCAUGGAAUGUGACGUUCAUGGAUUCAUUCACCAGUUUGAUGACUUGGUUUACAUAAAGGAAAGAGACGUCCCAUUGCACUGGUUGUCUAUUAUGUGACUCAGUUGUCUGGAAUUUGCUGUUCCAUGUAAUAAAUUUGCAAU